UACGUAGGGCGCAAGCGUUGUCCGGAAUUAUUGGGCGUAAAGAGCUCGUAGGCGGUUUGUCGCGUCUGCUGUGAAAGCCCGGGGCUCAACCCCGGGUCUGCAGUGGGUACGGGCAGACUAGAGUGCAGUAGGGGAGACUGGAAUUCUGGUGGUAGGCGGUGAAAUGCGCAGGAUAAUCAGGAGGAACACCGAUGGCGAAGGCAGGUCUCUGGGCUCGUUACUGACGCUGAGGAGCGAAAGCAUGGGGAGCGAACAGGAUUAGAUACCCCCGUAGUCC
rnacentral:rRNA from 1 species